rnacentral:tRNA from 1 species
GCGCGGGUGAUGGAAUGGUAGACAUUCAGCACUUAAAAUGCUGUGCCCAAAAGGCGUGCGGGUUCAAGUCCCGCCCGCGCACCA